rnacentral:misc_RNA from 1 species
AGAGAGAGAGAGAGAGAGAGAGCAGUAGAUGUUAAGAUUUUGAUGAUGUAGUAAGACCUAGAUGAUUAUCCCUGCCUUGGUAGCUUAUGGUUUAUGUGCAUCCCUGGUCACGUAUAAUUUCUCUCCAGUAUCACUCUACCUAUUGACAUAAUUUAAGUAUAUCCAUGCCUGAGCUGACAACGAAUCAAUCCCAAUGAACAAAUUAAUGCAAUUCAUAAAUAAACAUAGAAGCAACACUUCCUCUUUGAAUGUGAGGCUGAUACCAUAUGAGGCAGCCACAGCAAAGAGUUUCUAGCAAAGAAUUUCAUUCAACAUACCAAGGGAGGAGCAUAGAGGUAACUUAAGCUUGUUCUAAUGGAAUGCUUUAUCAUCAAAAGAAUGAGAGUGAGUUAUAGCAUUUCACAUUUAUUUGUCCAGGUCUUCUUUUCUAGAUUAUUUUUUGAUUCAGCAAUGAUGACUGUGAAUGGAUCAACAAAAAUGAAGAAACUGGGGUACAAAAUGUAUUUAAUUAAAGCAGGGACCAAAUUAAAGAAAAGAAGUUCCAAGUUCAAGCCAUUAUAUUUAAAUGCAACAGCAGUGUACAGGUGAAUUUCAGCUAGGAUUUACUAGCUUAUUUUUGUAUAUUGUGGUUCCAUUUCCCAUGGUGCACAAGGAGAAGAACAUCUCUUUUUUUAUUCAGAUUAACUAUUUCAAUGUAAUUUCAAAUCAACUAUUAUAAGAACUACAUAGGCCUUUUGCCUUUUAUUUCAUCUCUCUGGACGAUCAGAUUUUAGCAACUGAAGUAAUGUAACAAUUGAGCCCUUUUUCCCUAGAAAGACUCCAAGCUAAUCUGCAGUAACAUUUAAAACAUGAGCAAAGGUGAAAGAAAUGUACCUUGAAUACACAAUCAUGAGGAUAUAAAUCCAUCAGAUUAGGAUCGAUGUGAUCUUUCAAACCUGACAUGCUCAUGGAGUCGGGCGAGCUCUGAAGAGCUGCUAGCAUAACGGAUGCCAGUGAUCGUCUUUCAGGAUUUUUGGUAACUGCACCUUCAGUUUGUAUUAUGGCUUCCUUCCCAGAUA